rnacentral:rRNA from 1 species
GGACGAGAGAGUAAAUGGUGCGGCAUCAGAAACUAUAAAGGAGGAUGGAGCGUGACAAGGAGAAGGAGUUUCCAGUAAGGCAAGGGGUAAAAAGACGAGCAAGGGCUAGAUUUGGUCCGCUAGAUGAUCUAGGCCGCUGUACACACGGAGGAGGAGGAAGGUCAGUGAGCGUGGGAUGAAGGUCCUCGUCCGAGGAGAAGGAGAGUAGGCGACGGGCACCACGUUGUUACCGCUGCACGUCACGUGACCACCCAGAGGGUCUGGCUCUUCUUGGGGCUGUUUGUAAAGAUGUUCACGCUCGUAGUGGUAAGUUUGGUCGAUGUCGGACCCGCGGGAGUCUACCUAGGAGCAUUAGCCGUAGGAGGUGGAUCGUCCCCAAGAGGUAGAGAUGGAGUUCUUGAUUACUGCGCGAUAGCGGGUGGCGACUUCAAUGGAAAUUAAUAAUCAAUUCAUUAGUUAGUUCAAAGGACCUUAAAAGAAAAGAGCAAAAAAGAGACUCUUUCAAAGAAAGGAGCUAAAAAGACAGGUCCAAAGGACCUUGAAAAAAACAUGCUAUAGUCUAACAAGGUCGCUCGAGAAGAGGUUCGGUAAAAGAAAGGAGCAAAAAAGAGAGACCUUUCAAAGGACUAAAAAAAACAUACUCUAGUCUAGACAAAAGUUUAGACAAGAAAAAAAGUUACCCCUGUUUAGGCCCUUUAAUCAUCCAAAAGGACCUGACACUUAGUGUUAAAGGUGGAAGAUUUUAAAACCCACUAAUUAAUCACGUAAAAAUAGUUACUUUAAGGUGCCUCACGAAAAAGCUCAUCAAUAUAACGGGCUAACAACUCAAGCAACUACCUAGAUAUUAACAUUAAUAUAAAAAUACGUAGUAUCUUGUUACAGUAGUUCAUAAUAGUGACAGUUACAACAUUUAAACAACUACCUAGAUGAGGGAACCUUACAUAAAC